ensembl:lncRNA
UUCUUUUCUCGUGGAGCUCCGCGUUUUCUCGUGGAGCUCCGCGGCUCGGAGUUCUUUUCUCGUGGAGCUCCGCGUUUUCUCAUGGAGCUCCGCGCUCGGCGCGAUUUUCUCGUGGAGCUCUGCGGCUCGGGCCGAUCUCGGAGCUCCGAGGCUGGGAUUGAUUUGGGGUGUCGGAAAUUCGGAUUUUUCCAGGAUUUUUUCCCGGGAUUUCUGUGCUUCACCUAUAUGGGAUGUAUAGAAUCCAUCCCCUAAGGUUUCCGUGUUUCACCUAUAUGGGAUGUAUGGAAUCCAUCCCCCAGGAUUUCCGUGUUUCACCUAUAUGGGAUGUAUGGAAUCCAUCCCCUAAGGUUUCCGUGUUUCACCUAUAUGGGAUGUUUGGAAUCCAUGCCCCGGGAUUUCCGUGUUUCACCUAUAUGGGAUGUAUAGAACAGGGAAUUCCCGUGGGAGACAGGGAAUUUAUUCUAUAGGUCCGCCACGUAUACGGCCGAUAUUUAACGUGCUCCCCACACAUUCUAUAUUGGCCAUACAUCGCAGCCUUGAUCCGACCUACGUUCUGCUCUAUAGAAAUUUAUAUUUUCUAUAUUUUAUCCCUUUAUUUGGGGGUAUAAAAUGUCUAUCAUUUUAUAUGAUCCAUAUUUUUAUAUCAUUUUUUUUCGGGUAGGAAAUGGAUAUUAUCCAUAUUUUGUGCCUUUUUUGGGGUUAGGAGCAGGAUUGGGGUCAGGAUUGGGGUCAGGAUCGGGAUCAGGAUCGGGAUCGGGAUCAGGAUCGGGAUCAGGAUUGGGAUCAGGAUUGGGAUCAGGAUUGGGGUCAGGAUCAGGUUUGGGGUCAGGAUUGGGGUCAGGAUCGGGAUCAGGAUCGGGAUCAGGAUCGGGGUCAGGAUCAGGAUUUGGGAUCGGAUUUGGGAUCAGGUUUGGGGUCAGGAUUGGGGUCAGGAUUGGGGUCAGGAUCAGGAUUGGGAUCAGGAUUGGGGUCAGGAUCAGGAUUGGGGUCAGGAUUGGGGUCAGGAUCGGGAUCAGGAUCAGGAUCAGGAUUGGGAUCAGGAUCGGGAUCAGGAUUUGGGAUCGGGAUCAGGAUUGGGAUCAGGAUCGGGAUCGGGAUUGGGAUCAGGAUCAGGAUUGGGGUCAGGAUCGGGAUCAGGAUCGGAUUUGGGGUCAGGAUUGGGAUCAGGAUCAGGAUUGGGGUCAGGAUUGGGACCAGGAUUGGGACCAGGAUUGGGAUCAGGAUCAGGAUCGGGGUCAGAAUCAGGAUCGGGAUCAGGAUUGGGGUCAGGAAUGGGAUCAGGAUUGGAAUCGGGAUCGGGUUUGGGAUCAGAUUUGGGAUCAGGUUUGGGAUCAGGUUUGGGAUCAGAUUUGGGAUCGGGAUCGGGAUCAGAUUUGGGAUCAGGUUUGGGAUCAGUUUUGGGAUCAGGUUUGGGAUCAGGUUUGGGAUCAGUUUUGGGAUCAGGUUUGGGAUCAGGUUUGGGAUCGGGUUUGUGAUCGGGUUUGUGAUUGGAUUUGGGAUCGGAUUUGGGAUCGGAUUUGGGAUCAGAUUUGGGAUCAGGUUUGGGAUCAGAUUUGGGAUCAGGAUUGGGAUCAGAUUUGGGAUCAGGUUUGGGAUCAGGUUUGGGAUCAGAUUUGGGAUCAGAUUUGGGAUCAGGUUUGGGAUCAGGUUUGGGAUCAGGUUUGGGAUCAGAUUUGGGAUCAGAUUUGGGAUCAGGUUUGGGAUCAGAUUUGGGAUCAGGUUUGGGAUCGGAUUUGGGAUCGGGUUUGUGAUCAGAUUUGGGAUCAGGUUUUGGAAUCAGAUUUGGGAUCGGAUUUGGGAUCGGGAUUGGAUUUGGGAUCGGAUUUGGGAUCAGGUUUGGGAUUGGAUUUGGGAUCGGAUUUGGGAUCGGGAUUCGGGAUCGGAUUUGGGAUUGGGUUCGGGAUGGGAUUUGGGAUGGGAAUCGGGAUGGGAUUUGGGAUGGGAUUUGGGAUCGGGAUGGGAUUUGGGAUGGG